ACCUUAUUACAUUGUAUCCUUGGUUUAAAGCAGGGGAGGCAAAGGUUUAUCAUUCUUUACAUCCAAAUUAGGAUCAAAUUCCAAAAGAUGUUUCUUCUGCAAUGCGCCUGGAUGUGAUUGUAGAUUCCGCAGGCCUCGCCGGCCCG